rnacentral:misc_RNA from 1 species
AAGUCGUAACAAGGUAUCCGUAGGUGAACCUGCGGAUGGAUCAUUAGUGAAUGUGCGGCGAGGGCGCAAGCCUGAGCCUGCCAAUCCACCCUUGUGCAAUGUACCGUACCCUGGUGGGCGGCGCUCCGGCCUGGCCGGGGAGCCUCCACCGAAGGGCUUUCGAGCCCGACCAACGCUUUAAUCUUUGUCUGAACUUAACGAACCAAAUGAUCUAAACAACUUUUGACAACGGAUCUCUUGGCUCUC